ACCACACUUAUUGGGGCACGGAAUUUUAUGUGUUUUAAUCUUCAUUUUUGGACCAACCUUGGCCAUAUAUAUAAUCUCACCAAAUUCUAACUUUUUCUACUACUUCUAACACAACAACAUUCUUUAACCAUGAAUAGUCUCUUUCAUUUCUUUUUCUUCUUCUUCCUCCUCUUCAUCACUAACUCUCCAAUAAUACCACUUCAUGCCAUGCGUCACCCACAUCCGGUCCAAUUUUCCGGUCCAUAUGCAACGUUUACGACAGAAAAACAACUUAAUCUUCAACCUCAGGCUAGUGCACCCAUAAUUGCUAGAGAUUUUGAGUCCGACAAGAGGAGAGUUCCUACAGGACCAAAUCCUCUUCACAACAAGAAAAGAAAGACUUGAAAAUUACGCGUAUAGCAGAAGCCUAGUAGUACACCGAGCUGUCCUUUUUAUUUCUUGCAUGCUGGGGACUAAUGUAUUUCUCCGUUAGAGGUAGUUUUAUUUUUGAAGCCUAUGCUGAGCUAUAUGUGAUAAUUAAGCUUAUGUAGAUUUUGCGAGAGGAAAGAAUAUGUGGUGUUUAUUAGCAUUCAUACAAUUUGAUAUAAUCAAAAAUAGUUUGAUUUGAUAA